rnacentral:ncRNA from 1 species
UACUGCCAGUGACAAACUGGAGGAAGGCGGGGACGACGUCAAGUCAUCAUGGCCCUUACGGCCAGGGCUACACACGUGCUACAAUGGUCGGUACAAAGGGUUGCUACACAGCGAUGUGAUGCUAAUCUCAAAAAGCCGAUCGUAGUCCGGAUCGCAGUCUGCAACUCGACUGCGUGAAGUCGGAAUCGCUAGUAAUCGCGGAUCAGAAUGCCGCGGUGAAUACGUUCCCGGGCCUUGUACACACCGCCCGUCACACCAUGGGAGUUUGUUGCACCAGAAGUAGGUAGUCUAACCKYARGGAGGACGCUUACCACGGUGUGGCCGAUGACUGGGGUGAAGUCGUAACAAGGUAGCCGUAGGGGAACCUGCGGCUGGAUCACCUCCUUA